GAUUCCCCCAGUAGCGGCGAGCGAACGGGGAGGAGCCCAGAGCCUGAAUCAGUGUGUGUGUUAGUGGAAGCGUCUGGAAAGGCGCGCGAUACAGGGUGACAGCCCCGUACACAAAAAUGCACAUGCUGUGAGCUCGAUGAGUAGGGCGGGACACGUGGUAUCCUGUCUGAAUAUGGGGGGACCAUCCUCCAAGGCUAAAUACUCCUGACUGACCGAUAGUGAACCAGUACCGUGAGGGAAAGGCGAAAAGAACCCCGGCGAGGGGAGUGAAAAAGAACCUGAAACCGUGUACGUACAAGCAGUGGGAGCACGCUUAGGCGUGUGACUGCGUACCUUUUGUAUAAUGGGUCAGCGACUUAUAUUCUGUAGCAAGGUUAACCGAAUAGGGGAGCCGAAGGGAAACCGAGUCUUAACUGGGCGUUAAGUUGCAGGGUAUAGACCCGAAACCCGGUGAUCUAGCCAUGGGCAGGUUGAAGGUUGGGUAACACUAACUGGAGGACCGAACCGACUAAUGUUGAAAAAUUAGCGGAUGACUUGUGGCUGGGGGUGAAAGGCCAAUCAAACCGGGAGAUAGCUGGUUCUCCCCGAAAGCUAUUUAGGUAGCGCCUCGUGAAUUCAUCUCCGGGGGUAGAGCACUGUUUCGGCAAGGGGGUCAUCCCGACUUACCAACCCGAUGCAAACUGCGAAUACCGGAGAAUGUUAUCACGGGAGACACACGGCGGGUGCUAACGUCCGUCGUGAAGAGGGAAACAACCCAGACCGCCAGCUAAGGUCCCAAAGUCAUGGUUAAGUGGGAAACGAUGUGGGAAGGCCCAGACAGCCAGGAUGUUGGCUUAGAAGCAGCCAUCAUUUAAAGAAAGCGUAAUAGCUCACUGGUCGAGUCGGCCUGCGCGGAAGAUGUAACGGGGCUAAACCAUG
rnacentral:rRNA from 1 species